UUGAGUGAGUGGCGGACGGGUGAGUAACACGUGGGUAACCUGCCCUAAAGUGGGGGAUAACAUUUGGAAACAGAUGCUAAUACCGCAUAAAACCUAGCACCGCAUGGUGCAAGGUUGAAAGAUGGUUUCGGCUAUCACUUUAGGAUGGACCCGCGGUGCAUUAGUUAGUUGGUGAGGUAAAGGCUCACCAAGACCGUGAUGCAUAGCCGACCUGAGAGGGUAAUCGGCCACACUGGGACUGAGACACGGCCCAGACUCCUACGGGAGGCAGCAGUAGGGAAUCUUCCACAAUGGACGAAAGUCUGAUGGAGCAACGCCGCGUGAGUGAAGAAGGUUUUCGGAUCGUAAAACUCUGUUGUUGGAGAAGAACGUAUUUGAUAGUAACUGAUCAGGUAGUGACGGUAUCCAACCAGAAAGCCACGGCUAACUACGUGCCAGCAGCCGCGGUAAUACGUAGGUGGCAAGCGUUGUCCGGAUUUAUUGGGCGUAAAGCGAGCGCAGGCGGUUUCUUAAGUCUGAUGUGAAAGCCUUCGGCUCAACCGAAGAAGUGCAUCGGAAACUGGGAAACUUGAGUGCAGAAGAGGACAGUGGAACUCCAUGUGUAGCGGUGAAAUGCGUAGAUAUAUGGAAGAACACCAGUGGCGAAGGCGGCUGUCUGGUCUGUAACUGACGCUGAGGCUCGAAAGCAUGGGUAGCAAACAGGAUUAGAUACCCUGGUAGUCCAUGCCGUAAACGAUGAGUGCUAGGUGUUGGAGGGUUUCCGCCCUUCAGUGCCGCAGCUAACGCAUUAAGCACUCCGCCUGGGGAGUACGACCGCAAGGUUGAAACUCAAAGGAAUUGACGGGGGCCCGCACAAGCGGUGGAGCAUGUGGUUUAAUUCGAAGCAACGCGAAGAACCUUACCAGGUCUUGACAUCCUUUGACCACUCUAGAGAUAGAGCUUUCCCUUCGGGGACAAAGUGACAGGUGGUGCAUGGUUGUCGUCAGCUCGUGUCGUGAGAUGUUGGGUUAAGUCCCGCAACGAGCGCAACCCUUAUUACUAGUUGCCAGCAUUUAGUUGGGCACUCUAGUGAGACUGCCGGUGACAAACCGGAGGAAGGUGGGGACGACGUCAAAUCAUCAUGCCCCUUAUGACCUGGGCUACACACGUGCUACAAUGGAUGGUACAACGAGUCGCGAGACCGCGAGGUUUAGCUAAUCUCUUAAAACCAUUCUCAGUUCGGAUUGUAGGCUGCAACUCGCCUACAUGAAGCCGGAAUCGCUAGUAAUCGCGGAUCAGCAUGCCGCGGUGAAUACGUUCCCGGGCCUUGUACACACCGCCCGUCACACCAUGAGAGUUUGUAACACCCAAAG
rnacentral:rRNA from 2 species